rnacentral:rRNA from 1 species
CCUACGGGGCGCUGCAGUGGGGAAUAUUGGACAAUGGGCGAAAGCCUGAUCCAGCCAUGCCGCGUGUGUGAAGAAGGCCUUCGGGUUGUAAAGCACUUUCAGUGGGGAAGAAAGCCUUGGGGCUAAUACCCUCGAGGAAGGACAUCACCCACAGAAGAAGCACCGGCUAACUCCGUGCCAGCAGCCGCGGUAAUACGGAGGGUGCGAGCGUUAAUCGGAAUUACUGGGCGUAAAGCGCGCGUAGGCGGUCUGAUAAGCCGGUUGUGAAAGCCCCGGGCUCAACCUGGGAACGGCAUCCGGAACUGUCAGGCUAGAGUGCAGGAGAGGAAGGUAGAAUUCCCGGUGUAGCGGUGAAAUGCGUAGAGAUCGGGAGGAAUACCAGUGGCGAAGGCGGCCUUCUGGACUGACACUGACGCUGAGGUGCGAAAGCGUGGGUAGCAAACAGGAUUAGAUACCCGAGUAGUC